CAAGGUUGACCUCGGAUCAGGUAGGACUACCCGCUGAACUUAAGCAUAUCAAUAAGCGGAGGAAAAGAAACCAACAGGGAUUGCCCCAGUAACGGCGAGUGAAGCGGCAACAGCUCAAAUUUGAAAUCUGGCCUUCGGGUCCGAGUUGUAAUUUGGAGAGGAUGCUUCUGGCGCGGCGCCGUCCGAGUUCCUUGGAACAGGACGCCAUAGAGGGUGAGAGCCCCGUACGGGCGGACGCCUAGCCUCUGUGAAGCUCCUUCGACGAGUCGAGUAGUUUGGGAAUGCUGCUCAAAAUGGGAGGUAAAUUUCUUCUAAAGCUAAAUACCGGCCAGAGACCGAUAGCGCACAAGUAGAGUGAUCGAAAGAUGAAAAGCACUUUGAAAAGAGGGUUAAAAAGUACGUGAAAUUGUUGAAAGGGAAGCGCCUGUGACCAGACUUGCUGCCCGCGGAUCAUCCGGCGUUCUUCGCCGGUGCACUCCGCGGGCGGCAGGCCAGCAUCGGUUUUCCUGGGGGGUCAAAGGUCGCGGGAACGUGGCUCCUUCGGGAGUGUUAUAGCCCGCGGCGUCAUGCCUCUGGGGGGACCGAGGACC
rnacentral:rRNA from 1 species